AUGGCAGCUCAAGCCCCGACUAUGGCAGUCCCUACGGACGCCCAGCUGAUUCAGGCGCAGGCUGGCCUAUGGCGCCAUAGCCUGUGCCACCUCACAGCCAUAGCACUCAGGUGCGCCGUCCAGCUCGGCGCCUUAGCGUCCCCUGAGGAGGGGAUCUACUCCCUCGUCCCGCUAUCAUACCUCCUGGUGGAUGGUGUAUUCAUUGAUGGUGAGGCCAGCCAGAAGGCCAUUGUGCUUGCCACGACCUCAAGACAUUACAUAGAGGUGACCUUGGGGCUAGCUGACUGGUUCAAGAAGGACAUUGCACCACCGCCAUCACCAUUUGAAGAUGUGCAUGGUGCCACACUCUUCGAGGAGAGUAUGGCGCUCCUCGACCCAGAGUCAGACAAGGUGUUCCAUGAAGCUUUGGCUGCCCAUGACCAUUUGGGGAUCGGCACCAUAUUACGGGAAUGCCAUGACUUAUUCAAGGGGGUGCAGUCACUCACCGACUGUUUUGGUGGUGAUGGAACGACGGCUAGGGCUAUUUUCAAGGCCUUCCCGCAUAUCAAGUGCAAUGUGUUGGACCUUCCGAGGGUGAUCGAGAAAGUCCCAAGUGAUGGUAUAGUUAACUAUGUCGCUAGUGACCUAUUCCAUACCAUUCCACCUGCUCAAGCUGUGAUGCUUAAGGUAUGA
rnacentral:rRNA from 1 species